rnacentral:rRNA from 1 species
UACGUAGGCAGCGAGCGUUGUUCGGAGUUACUGGGCGUAAAGGGUGUGUAGGCGGUUUUCUAAGUUUGGUGUGAAAUCUCCCGGCUCAACCCGGGAGGGUGCGCCGAAAACUGGGAGACUAGAGUGCGGGAUGGGAGAGUAGAAUUCCUGGUGUAGCGGUGAAAUGCGUAGAUAUCAGGAGGAAUACCGGUGGUGUAGACGGCUCUCUGGACCGCCACUGACGCUGAGACACGAAAAGCGUGGGUAGCAAACAGG